GGUAGCCAAAAAUAACGGCUGCGUUUGUUGUUGGGUUUGUAAUAACACGGAUAUCUCCCCCUCCAGGGGCCCAAGUGUCGUAAACACCACCAAAAUACAUUGCUUUCCAAACAAGUAACCAAGCACCUAGACCUAAAAUAAUUAAGUGGUAACCUAAAAUGUUAGUCAUUUUGUUUUUGUCUUUCCA
rfam:Tetrabaena socialis chloroplast psbC gene for photosystem II CP43 apoprotein, strain:NIES-571.